rnacentral:rRNA from 1 species
AUCAGGAGGUUAGUGCAAUGGCAUAAGCCAGCUUGACUGCGAGCGUGACGGCGCGAGCAGGUGCGAAAGCAGGUCAUAGUGAUCCGGUGGUUCUGAAUGGAAGGGCCAUCGCUCAACGGAUAAAAGGUACUCCGGGGAUAACAGGCUGAUACCGCCCAAGAGUUCAUAUCGACGGCGGUGUUUGGCACCUCGAUGUCGGCUCAUCACAUCCUGGGGCUGAAGUAGGUCCCAAGGGUAUGGCUGUUCGCCAUUUAAAGUGGUACGCGAGCUGGGUUUAGAACGUCGUGAGACAGUUCGGUCCCUAUCUGCCGUGGGCGCUGGAGAACUGAGGGGGGCUGCUCCUAGUACGAGAGGACCGGAGUGGACGCAUCACUGGUGUUCGGGUUGUCAUGCCAAUGGCACUGCCCGGUAGCUAAAUGCGGAAGAGAUAAGUGCUGAAAGCAUCUAAGCACGAAACUUGCCCCGAGAUGAGUUCUCCCUGACUCCUUGAGAGUCCUGAAGGAACGUUGAAGACGACGACGUUGAUAGGCCGGGUGUGUAAGCGCAGCGAUGCGUUGAGCUAACCGGUACUAAUGAACCGUGAGG